CCUACGGGGGGCUGCAGUGGGGAAUAUUGCACAAUGGGGGAAACCCUGAUGCAGCGACGCCGCGUGAAGGACGAAGUAUUUCGGUAUGUAAACUUCUAUCAGCAGGGAAGAUAAUGACGGUACCUGACUAAGAAGCCCCGGCUAACUACGUGCCAGCAGCCGCGGUAAUACGUAAGGGGCAAGCGUUAUCCGGAUUUACUGGGUGUAAAGGGAGCGUAGACGGUAAGAUAAGUCAGAUGUGAAAGCCCGGGGCUCAACCCCGGGACUGCAUUUGAAACUAUUUUACUAGAGUAUUGGAGAGGUAAGUGGAAUUCCUAGUGUAGCGGUGAAAUGCGUAGAUAUUAGGAGGAACACCAGUGGCGAAGGCGGCUUACUGGACAAUUACUGACGUUGAGGCUCGAAAGCGUGGGGAGCAAACAGGAUUAGAUACCCCAGUAGUC
rnacentral:rRNA from 1 species